GUCCUCCCUCUGUGUCCCUGACCCCCUGUGUCCCCUCUCGGUGUCACCUCGGUGUCACCUCUGUGUGUGUCACUGUGUCACCUCUCUGUCACUGUGUCACCUCGGUGUCACCUUUGUGUCCCUCUGUCCUCCCUCUGUGUCCCUGACCCCCUCUGUCCCCUCUCUGUUUGUCACUGUGUCACCUCCCUGUGUCACUGUGUCACCUCUCUAUCCCUGUGUCCUCCCUCUGUGUCACUGUGUCACCUCGCUGUCACCUCGGUGUGUGUCACUGUGUCACCUCUCUGUGUCACUGUGUCACCUCUGGGUGUCACAUCUGUGUCACCUCUGUGUCCCUCUGUCCUCCCUCUGUGUCCCUCUGCUCCUCUCUGUGUGUCACUGUGUCACCUCUGUGUCACCUCUGUCCUCCCUAUGUGUCACUGUGUCACCUCUGUGUCUUUGUGUCACCUCUGUGUCACUGUGUCUCCUCUCUGUGUGUCACUGUGUCACCUGUGUCCCUCUGUGUCAUUGUGUCACCUCUGUGUGUCACUGUGUCACCUCUCUAUCCCUGUGUCCUCCCUCUGUGUCACUGUGUCACCUCUGUGUCACUGUGUGACCUCUGUGUGUGUGUCACUGUGUCACCUGUGUGUCACUGUGUCACCUCUCCAUGUCCCUGUGUCACCUUUCUGUGUUCCUGUGUCACCUCUGUGUGUCCCUCUGUCCCCUCUCUGUGUCCCUGUGUCACCUCUGUCCUCCCUCUGUGUCCCUGUGUCCCCAUGUCCCCAUGUCACCGUGUCCCUGUGUCCCCAUGUCCCCGUGUCCCCAUGUCACCGUGUCCCCAUGUCCCUGUGUCCCCAUGUCCCCAUGUCCCCAUGUCCCCGUGUCCCUGUGUCCCCGUGUCACCGUGUCCCCGUGUCCCCGUGUCCCUGUGUCACCAUGUCCCCGUGUCCCCGUGUCCCCAUGUCACCGUGUCACUGUGUCACCAUGUCCCCGUGUCCCCGUGUCCCUGUGUCCCCGUGUCCCUGUGUCCCCAUGUCCCCGUGUCCCCGUGUCCCCAUGUCCCCGUGUCCCUGUGUCCCCGUGUCCCCAUGUCCCCAUGUCCCUGUGUCACCAUGUCCCCGUGUCCCCGUGUCCCCAUGUCCCCGUGUCCCCGUGUCCCUGUGUCACCAUGUCCCCGUGUCCCCUCCUUCUGUCCCCUCACAGCUGCAGGACCUGGGCCACCCCCCCAAGGAGCUGGCCGGGGACACGCCCCCCGGAUUCAACCUGGAGCUGCCGGGGGGGGUGAGUGGGGAGCAGUGCCGCCUCAUGUAGGGCCCUUCGGGAUCCCCCGGCGCGGCCGCCCCCGAGGAGGACGAAGAGGAGCCCGAGGGGUGGAGACCCUCACCCCACAAACAUUUCGGGGUUUUCCGGGGGCUGGGGGGUGCAGGGACCCCCCCAUUUGGGGAGAUGUCACCCCCUCGCCCCCCACCUGUGUCCCCAAUAAAGAGUUGGUGACGGGAGCGGCUCUGGCUGGGAAUGGGGACCCUACAGAAAUGGGGUGGCCCUAUAGGGACAGUGGGGGGCAGAGUGACCCUAUAGAAAUGGGGUGGCCCUAUAGGGACAGUGGGGGACAGAGUGACCCUAUAGAAAUGGGGUGGCCCUAUAGGGACAGUGGGGGAGAGUGACCCUAUAGAAAUGGGGUGGCCCUAUAGGGACACUGGGGGGCAGAGUGACCCUAUAGAAAUGGGGUGGCCCUAUAGGGACAGUGGGGGGCAGAGUGACCCUAUAGAAAUGGGGUGGCCCUAUAGGGACAGUGGGGGACAGAGUGACCUUAUAGAAAUGGGGUGGCCCUAUAGGGACAGUGGGGGCAGAGUGACCCUAUAGAAAUGGGGUGGCCCUAUAGGGACAAUGGGGGGCAGAGUGACCCUACAGAAAUGGGGUGGCCCUAUAGGGACAGUGGGGGACAGGGACCCUACAGAAAUGGGGUGGCCCUGUAGGGACAUUGGGGACAGAGUGACCCUAUAGAAAUGGGGUGGCCCUAUAGGGACAGUGGGGGGCAGAGUGACCCUACAGAAAUGGGGUGGCCCUAUAGGGACAGUGGGGGACAGAGUGACCCUAACCGAGGGGUGACACAGGGGGACACAAAGUGACCCUACAGCACCAAGGUGGGGACACAGAGUUGACCCUACAGUAACCCUGGGAGGGGACAGCAGUGACCCUAAACAGGGCCAACCCCAUAACAACAUUGGGGGCGCAAAGUGACCCCACAGUAACACUGAGGGGCUGGGAAUGACCCUAUAACAACACUGGGGAGGGACAGCAGUGACCCUAAACACGGUGACACCAGAGUGACCCUAAACACGGUGACCCCACAGGGACCCUAAACACGGUGACCCCACAGUGACCCUAAACGGGGUCAGCCCCACAGUGACCCUAAACAAGGGUGACCCUACAGGACCCUAAACAGGGGUGACCCUACAGUGACCCUGAACAAGGUGACCCCACAGUGACCCCACAGUGACCCUAAACGGGGGUGGCUCCAUAGUGACCCCACAGUGACCCUAAACAAGGGUGACCCUACAGGACCCUAAACAGGGUGACCCCACAGUGACCCUAAACACGGUGACCCCACAGGGACCCCGCAGUGACCCUAAAGAAGGUGACCCCACAGGGACCCUAAACAGG
ensembl:lncRNA